AGAUUUUGAUCAUGGCUCAAAACAAACGCUGGCGGCGUGCCUAAUACAUGCAAGUCGAACGGGGUAGCAAUACCCAGGGGCGCACGGGUGAGGAACGCGGGGAUAAUCUGCCCUCGAGUUGGGAAUAACUAGUCAAAAGAUUAGCUAAUACCGAAUAAAACCACGGUCUCUGCGGAAACAGAGGUUAAAGGAGCAUUUCGCUUGAGGAUGAGUCCGCGUAAAAUUAGCUAGUUGGUGAGGUAAUGGCUCACCAAGGUUAUGAUCUUUAACUGGUCUGAGAGGAUGAUCAGUCACACUGGAACUGAAACACGGUCCAAACUCCUACGGGAGGCAGCAGUAGGGAAUAUUGCGCAAUGGGGGAAACCCUGACGCACCGACCCCGCGUGAGUGAUGAAGGCCUUCGGGUUGUAAAGCUCUUUUGCAGGGAAAUAAGAAAGUGAAUGUACUCUGCAAAUAAGGAUCGGCUAACUUCGUG
rnacentral:rRNA from 1 species